rnacentral:rRNA from 1 species
UCCAGACUCCUACGGGAGGCAGCAGUGGGGAAUAUUGCACAAUGGGGGAAACCCUGAUGCAGCAACGCCGCGUGAGUGAAGAAGUAUUUCGGUAUGUAAAGCUCUAUCAGCAGGGAAGAGAAUGACGGUACCUGACUAAGAAGCCCCGGCUAACUACGUGCCAGCAGCCGCGGUAAUACGUAGGUGGCAAGCGUUGUCCGGAUUUACUGGGUGUAAAGGGCGUGCAGCCGGGCUGACAAGUCAGAUGUGAAAUCCCGCGGCUCAACCGCGGAACUGCAUUUGAAACUGUCAGUCUUGAGUACCGGAGAGGUCAUCGGAAUUCCUUGUGUAGCGGUGAAAUGCGUAGAUAUAAGGAAGAACACCAGUGGCGAAGGCGGCUUACUGGACUGUAACUGACGUUGAGGCUCGAAAGCGUGGGGAGCAAACAGGAUUAGAUACCCCAGUA